UCCCCACCAUCUUCAUUGCUGCCACCACCAUCACAUCUCCGUCACCACCACAACCAACGCCACCAACACCAGUACCACAAUCAUCUCCAUCGCCAUCAUCACCUUCUUUAUCUUCACAAUGAACAACAAUCCAAAUCCCACCAUAUUCCUUUUUCGAUUUCAGGGAGAUUUUCAUGAGAUUUCAGAUCUGUAGAUGUUUUUCAUAUUCCUUUUUCAAUUGGUUUUUUCGUUCCAAUCGAAAUUAGGUUUCAGUAAUCAUCAACAGGUUCAGAAAUCAAAUUUUAAAUUCAUUAUUAGCAGUAAAUUAGGUCUCAUUAAAUACCGAUCCAAAUUAGGUUUUUUUUAAGGUAUCUUUAUUCUUUUUCUUUCAUUAUUCAUCGAUGUUACUCAUUUGGGUUCGCAAAUUUUAUGAGAAUGGAUUUAGCGAUCAAUUUGGUUUCAUAUAAUCUACAAACAAGAACUCGUAUUUACAGAUUGUUGACUUGUUGGGAAAUCAGAAAGAAGCUGUCAGGAAGAAGGCGACUAUGGCGUUACAUAGAUUUUAUCAGAAAUUGCCGUCUUCUGUUUCUCACCUGGUGUCCAAUUUCAGAAAGGUAUUAAGAGAUGAUCAUUUUCCUUUUUUUGGUUGCAUUUGUUGAUAGUGUUCCACUUCUUAAUCCUCCAAAUUAUAAGGUAUCUCUCAAAAUGAAUCUGUGGUGCAAUGGUAGCACAACUGACUCCACAUCAGAAAAUGCGUGUUCGAUUCACGCCAGGUUCACUAAUUUAGGACAUUAAUUAGGAUCAACUUUGGUUGUUGACACCAGAUUUUGGGAUCAACUUUGGUUGUCGACGCCAUAUUAUUUUUUAUGGUUUUUUGAUUUUUGUUUUGGGAUGAACUUCGAUUGUUGACGCGAUAUUAUUAUUUUUCUUUUCUAUCUGAUUUCUGCUUUGGGGAUCAACUUCGAUUGUUGAUACCGCCAGCGGCGGUGGUGGACUGGUGGUGGGCGGCGAUGGACUGG